AUUGAACGCUGGCGGAAUGCUUUACACAUGCAAGUCGAACGGCAGCACGGACUUCGGUCUGGUGGCGAGUGGCGAACGGGUGAGUAAUAUAUCGGAACGUGCCCAGUCGUGGGGGAUAACGUAGUGAAAAUUACGCUAAUACCGCAUACGAUCUACGGAUGAAAGCGGGGGAUCGCAAGACCUCGCGCGAUUGGAGCGGCCGAUAUCAGAUUAGGUAGUUGGUGAGGUAAAGGCUCACCAAGCCGACGAUCUGUAGCUGGUCUGAGAGGACGACCAGCCACACUGGAACUGAGACACGGUCCAGACUCCUACGGGAGGCAGCAGUGGGGAAUUUUGGACAAUGGACGCAAGUCUGAUCCAGCCAUUCCGCGUGCAGGACGAAGGCCUUCGGGUUGUAAACUGCUUUUGUACAGAACGAAAAGGUUUCUAUUAAUACUAGGGGCUCAUGACGGUACUGUAAGAAUAAGCACCGGCUAACUACGUG
rnacentral:rRNA from 1 species